GUUGUGCAGCUGCAGCUGGGCCGCGGCGGAGCUGCUCCGGGUGAGAUCCGUGAGAGAGGCUGAGUCUGGUGGGAUCUCUCACCCCUGGACGCUCCCUCCUGACACCUGCCCCGGGGAGCAGCGCUGCGAUCCGGUGAAAAUGAGUUCUUCAGUAAGAAGAAAAGGCAGGCCCGGCAAAGGAGGUGGAAAAGGGUCUUCUUCUAGAGGAGGAAGAGGAGGCAGGAGUCACAAAUCUCAUGGGGGUGGCAGUGGUGGUGGUGGCAGUGGUGGCAAUAGAAAGUCCUCAAGUAGAAUUUGGGACGAUGGUGAUGACUUUUGUAUCUUCAGUGAAUCAAGGCACCCAGCCAGACCUAGCAGCAGUAGCACAAGAAAAGGAGAUGCACGCCCCAAGUGGAAGCCCGAAGCUAAAGUGCCUCUCCAGACUCUACAUAUGACUUCUGAGAAUCAAGAGAAAGUGAAAGCUCUUCUCCGAGACCUGCAAGAACAAGAUGCAGAUGUUGGAUCUGAAAGAAGCAUUUCUGGGGAGGAGGAAGAUGACGAGCCUGAUUGUGAUGAUGCUCAGUACUGGUCAGCUGGACGAGAAGCUGCCCUUGUUCCUGACUUGGAUCCUUUGGAAUAUGCCGGCUCAGGCCUGGAGGAACCUUAUAAUCCAGAAUUGACAGUCUCAACAUUAGCAGUGCAAAAACUUUCUAGGUAUGGUUUCAGCACUGAACACUGUCAAGCAUCCCUGAGGAUUUGUGGUGGAGAUGUGGGGGCAUCACUAGAACAUCUGCUUACCCAGUGUUUUUCAGAGACAUUUGGAGAGAGGAUGAAGAUCUCUGAGGCAGUUGCCCAUAUAAGUGUGGAUGAGUGUGUGGAACAGCGACAGGAAGAGGCAUUUGCCCUCAAGUCAAUCUGUGGAGAAAAAUUCAUAGAAAGAAUUCAGAACAAAGUCUGGACCAUUGGAUUAGAACUGGAGUACUUGACAAAUAAAUUCUGCAGAUCCAAGCGAAAGGAAAGUACCAAAAAUAUACAGGAGAUUUCACAUGAAAUCUGCAGAUUUUACCUCAAAGGAAAUUGUAAAUUUGGAUCAAAAUGCAAAUUCAAACAUGAAGUGCCCCCAAAUCAAAUUGUUGGAAGAAUAGAAAGAAGUGUGGAUGAUUCUCAUCUUAAUGCUAAUGAAGAUGCAUCUUUUUUAUAUGAACUUGAAAUUCGAUUUCCUAAAGGCCACAAGUACCCCUACCAAGCUCCCCUUGUGGCAUUUUAUUCCACCAAUGAGAAUCUACCUCUGGCUUGUCGUUUACAUAUUUCUGAGUUCCUUUAUGGCAAGGCCUUGACAUUUGCAGAAACUUCAGAACCUGUUGUAUAUUCUUUGAUAACCCUUUUAGCGGAAGAAUCAGAAAUAGUCAAGUUAUUAACAAAUACCCAUCACAAGUACAGUAUCCCUCCAGUGAACUUUCUGCCAGUAUCCUCUGGGACCAGAAUAAAUAAUCCUGUCUGUCGUAAACCAGUGAUUCCAAAUAAUUCUUUUGUUUCCAGUCAACUUCAAGAUGUUGAAAAAGAAUCAGAACCUGAGGAGACAGAUGAGGAUGAAGGUCCUGCACCAGUUGUAGUGGAGAAUGAAAGCUAUGUGAACCUUAAGAAAAAGAUUUCCAAAAGAUAUGACUGGCAGGCAAAAUCAGUGCAUGCUGAAAAUGCUAAAAUCUGCAAGCAGUUCCGAAUAAAACAGGCUUCCAGACAGUUCCAGUCAAUUCUGCAAGAAAGACAAUCACUCCCUGCUUGGGGAGAAAGGGAAACCAUUCUUAAAUUGUUGAGCAAGCACCAAGUACUUGUUAUAAGUGGUAUGACUGGCUGUGGGAAAACCACGCAGAUUCCACAGUUUAUUCUGGAUGAAUCUCUGAAUGGACCACCAGAGAAGGUGGCUAACAUCAUUUGUACCCAACCCCGACGAAUCUCGGCAAUCUCUGUCGCUGAACGUGUUGCUAAAGAGAGAGCAGAAAGAGUGGGUCUGACUGUGGGAUACCAAAUCCGGUUAGAGAGUGUCAAGUCCUCAGCCACCAGACUGUUGUACUGCACCACAGGAGUACUGCUGAGAAGGCUAGAAGGAGAUACAGCUCUCCAGGGGGUCACCCAUAUCAUUGUGGAUGAAGUUCAUGAGCGGACAGAAGAAAGUGACUUCUUGCUGCUGGUUUUGAAGGACAUUGUAUUGCAGAGACCAGCUCUUCAAGUUAUUCUGAUGAGUGCAACUUUAAACGCUGAGCUCUUUUCAGAAUAUUUCAGUUCCUGCCCAGUUAUUACUAUACCAGGUCGUACAUUUCCUGUUGAUCAGUUUUUUCUGGAAGAUGCAAUUGCUGUGACAAGGUAUGUGUUACAGGAUGGGAGCCCAUACAUGCGCUCCAUGAAACAGAUGUCAAAGGAGAAGCUGAAAGCAAGGCGCAACAGAACUGCGUUUGAAGAAGUGGAGGAAGACCUGAGGCUUUCCCUUCACCUGCAGGAUCAGGAUUCUGUCAGAGAUGCAGUGCCUGAUCAACAGUUAGAUUUUAAGCAGCUCCUGGCCCGCUAUAGAGGGGUUAGCAAAUCAGUCAUCAAAACAAUGUCCGUCAUGGAUUUUGAAAAGGUUAAUCUUGAAUUAAUAGAGGCCUUGUUAGAAUGGAUUGUAGAUGGAAAGCACUCCUACCCUCCAGGUGCUAUACUUGUAUUUUUACCGGGACUAGCAGAAAUCAAGAUGCUUUAUGAACAGCUACAAUCAAAUUCUCUUUUCAACAACAGACGUAGUAAUCGAUGUGUUGUUCACCCACUUCAUUCAUCUUUAUCCAGUGAAGAGCAGCAGGCUGUGUUUGUAAAACCUCCUGUAGGUGUAACUAAGAUUAUAAUUUCUACCAACAUUGCUGAGACAUCCAUCACCAUCGAUGAUGUUGUCUAUGUCAUUGAUUCUGGGAAAAUGAAAGAAAAGAGAUAUGAUGCCAGCAAAGGCAUGGAAAGUCUAGAGGAUACUUUUGUCUCUCAAGCUAAUGCUCUGCAGAGGAAAGGUCGAGCGGGCCGUGUUGCAUCUGGGGUCUGCUUCCACUUGUUCACUAGCCAUCACUUCAGUCACCAGCUUUUAAAGCAGCAGCUACCAGAAAUACAAAGAGUGCCAUUGGAACAGCUAUGUCUGAGAAUUAAAAUUUUAGAGAUGUUUAGCACUCAUGAUCUUCAGUCAGUGUUCUCUCGGCUCAUUGAACCGCCACACCCUGAUUCUCUCCGAGCCUCAAAAAUACGAUUACGAGACUUGGGAGCUUUAACUCUAGAUGAAAAACUGACUCCCUUGGGGUAUCACUUGGCCUCUCUGCCCGUAGAUGUGAGAAUCGGCAAACUGAUGUUGUUUGGGUCUAUCUUCCGCUGUUUGGAUCCUGCUCUCACCAUUGCUGCCAGUUUGGCGUUUAAAUCUCCUUUUGUGUCUCCCUGGGAUAAAAAAGAGGAAGCUAACCAGAAAAAACUAGAAUUUGCAUUUGCAAACAGUGAUUAUCUGGCCCUUCUACGAGCAUACAAAGGAUGGCAGCUAAGUACAAAAGAAGGUAUGCGUGCAAGUUAUAAUUACUGCAGACAAAACUUCUUGUCAGGAAGAGUUCUUCAGGAAAUGGCCAGCCUCAAACGCCAAUUCACUGAACUGUUAUCAGAUAUAGGCUUUGUAAAGGAGGGACUCCGAGCCAGGGAAAUUGAGAAAAGGGCCCUAGGAGGAGAUGGUAUCUUGGAUGCCACAGGAGAAGAGGCAAACACAAAUGCUGAGAACCCCAAGCUGAUAUCAGCCAUGCUGUGUGCUGCUUUGUACCCAAAUGUAGUGCAGGUGAAAAGCCCAGAAGGGAAAUUUCAGAAGACUAGUACCGGAGCUGUCAGAAUGCAACCAAAAUCAGAUGAGCUGAAGUUUGUCACCAAGAACGAUGGAUAUGUGCACAUUCACCCUUCAUCGGUGAACUAUCAGGUGAGACACUUUGACAGCCCCUACCUGGUGUACCACGAGAAGAUCAAAACUAGUCGGGUGUUCAUCCGAGACUGCAGCGUGGUGUCUGUGUACCCGCUGGUCUUGUUUGGAGGAGGCCAAGUGAAUGUGCAGCUUCAAAGGGGAGAAUUUGUUGUCUCCUUGGAUGAUGGUUGGAUCCGUUUUGCAGCCGCUUCCCAUCAGGUGGCAGAAUUAGUAAAGGAACUUCGCUGCGAACUUGACCAGCUCCUCCAGGACAAGAUAAAAAACCCGAGCAUAGAUCUGUGUACCUGUCCUCGAGGGUCCCGGAUCAUCAGCAUGAUUGUCAAGCUUGUCACCACGCAAUAAAUACCAGUCUUAGGAGAGUGCUUGCUCCUCACCUGCUUCCUGUUCACCUGGGAAAUAACAGCAGCACUUCUACCUCGAACCAGAGCUCCGUGCUGGGGCUGGCCCCAGUGAAGGGGCCCAGGGCACGCACUGCUGAGUCAGCUGGGCACCACAUACCCUUCGGGAAAGUUUCCAGACUAAGUGUUUCCAACAAAGCAGUAGGCACUCCUGGCACAAUUUGGAAUGUCGAUGUGAGACAGUCUAAAAAUCAGCUUGCCUGUCUGUUCCCUGUGACUGUCCUGGAAUGAAUGAAAUUCACCUUAGAACACAGAAGGGAAUGUUUAAUACAAUUCUGUUUUAAUCUAUAUUAUUUUUCUCCUGCUUUUUACUGGGGUGAGAUAGGGGCAUGAGGAGAAAUACUGAUUGUUUUUUCUGUCAUACAGGCUCAACUGAGAGAAGUCAGAACAGAGAAGGAAAAAAAAAAUCAUGUGAGCAAGAAAAAUUAAAAUUUUAUUUCAGGCUUUUGGCUACAGAGUAAACUUGAUUUGUGAGGGAUUUUUAUUUUUUACUCAUUCAAGAGCAGAAAAGAAUUCUUUUGGAGAGGCACUCAUGCCCCAUACAGGAACCAUCAGGAAUGAGUGGAAUCUGUUUCGUAAAGAUGCAAGAUAGCAGCCCCAGACAGUUUGGCCUCUUUGUGCCGUCUUUGCCUGAUUUGGGCCCUCCCCGGGUCUACUCCUGAGUCAUUUCUAACCCAGCUAACUGGUGAGUAAGCCAGAACACAUUCCCCCAGCAAGAUACGAGAAGGAUGGCUUGGAAUCAUUUGACUGGAUUUUUUUUACCUCUAUUUCAACUUUUUAGGAAAGAAACAAAUGGCAACAAAAGCCAGUAUGAGGCGUUUGUUUGAAAACGCAAGUUCCCCUUGGAAAUGGAGCCCACUCCCGUAACUGUCAACAAUGAGGAUCAGUGUUUAGGAUGAUGACCCUGACAUAUUACAAACACAGUAUUGCUAUGUGUGGUAUAGGAACAUAUAAUGAACAUUUUCAACAGAAGCAUUUCAAACAGGGUCUUCAAAAAUUAUUGUUGCUUAUGCAGAAAAUGCAGUUACUGGCUACCUCCUCCAAACUAGUACUGAAAAUGGCCUGAGAGAGUCAAUUUUUCUUCCUGUUGAAUGAAUUUAUAAAAAAGAGAUUAUCCAUGGCUAACUUUUUCUACAAAAGUUAGAUAGGAUAAUUUAGCCAAAAAGGCUCAUUUACUUCCCAAGAGCCCCUUUUUAAUAAGUUUUACCUCAUUCCAUCCUUGGGUUUCAAAUGUAUUAGAACAAAAAUGCCUGCUAACCUUUCAAAUAAGACUCUUUGUCCGUAGACGAUGAUUAUAACAAAUCCAGGAUUUCAUCAUGGAUAAAGGCUACAAAAGAGUGUCCUCAUAGGAGAAAAUGUAGCUUUUGUUUGUUUUAAUGCAGUAGUUCUCAGCUGGGGGCUAUUUUGCCCACUAGUGGACCUUGGGCAAUAUCUAAAGAUGUGGUCACAUUGAGGGGGAGAGCGGGUACUCGUGGCAUCUAGUGGUUAGAAGCCACGGAUGCUGCUAAAUACCAUACAAUGCACAAGAUAACCCCCAACAAAAAAUUAUCUAGUCCAAAAUCAGUAGUGCAAAAGCAGAGAAAACCUGUUUAAACAAAAUAAGAUAAGUAAACACAUAGAAAGUCUAGCCACUAGUUAUUAGUC